CUCCUCUCCCUGACGCGUCGCCCUCGUCUCCACUUCAUUUCCACACCGAGGAAGCCGAGGGAGAGAGCUUCAGCUCUCCCUCUCCACCUCUUGCUCGUCGUCGACCGCCAAGAAGGAGGAGCUCGCAUUCAUCGUCGAGCCAUCGUCAUCACUAACUCUUUCUCGUUCCAUAUUCCUCACUUCAUGCCUACCACUUUACCCUUUGACACCAUCUCAUUUCAUCCAUUGUAGCGACGGGAACGCCGCCGUGCCCACGAGUGUUCCAGUGCGUGCACCGAGCGCCGCAGCAGCGACAUCGUCGCCGUUGCCGUCGAUUUAGACCAAGCCGGAGCGAGCCACCACCCACCAGCUUCGCGAAGUCCUCUCUAUUUCCCCUCAAAAAUCCCGAAGAAUGACGUAUCGAGGAAGGAGAACGGCCUCCAUCGUCUACAACUCCGGCCACCGUCGCCAUGGCCAAAUUCUCCUUCGCCGGUUCCCUCGUCGAUUAUUUCGUGCAUGCACCAUCCCUGGGAUCUAAUAAACCUCUUGGACAGGCAUGCAUGGCCACUCUUCAAGUAGAUCGAGCCGUCACCGUUCACCCCGGAGGUUCUUGCCGCCGCCGCCAAUUCCGUCCAUCGCCAAGACCCUGUCAGGCCUCUAGAAGCCACGAUGAUUGCUUAAACGGUGAAGAAGUGAAUUAGGUGCUGACAUUUUUCAGUUACAAGGAAAGUCCCACCUCCCUCUCUCUUUGAUCACUUCUCUCUUUGUUCACUUUGAACCUAUGUUUUGGAGGUUAUUGAAAAUGUUUGUAAAUCUUGCAUGUCGAUUGUACACUAAUAAAUUAAAAAAAAAUUUAAACUACAAACUUCUAUUACUUGCAUUAUCACCUUAACCCCACAUAUAUCCAUAUCCCUCAUUCCUAACCUUAUGAAUCAUAUCCUGUUACUACUUGGAAUUUGGAAUAUGAGUUACAUUGUCACUAGUUUACUAUAUUUCUUAGCCAUGCUUAGAAUGGUUUUACUUAUCACUUGGGCUCAUAUUAACAGGAAAAAUAAUUUUGUUAAGAUUCUAGACAGAGAUGAAUAAAUAAAGUAUUUGACAAAUAAAAUGAUGGAAAACAUGGGUUUUAGGUUUGGGCCUCAAGUGGUGCACAUAUGGUGAUUAGUUGUGUACCGAUAGGGGGAGAGUGUGCCCAAACCGACCUAAGGACUGCACUCAAUGUCAGUUCAUUUCGUAUAUAGUACAACCACAUGAGCUAGUAUGGGAUAGCCCAAGCUUAGUAAAUUAUUUAUGGUUUAGCCUUACAUUCUGGUAGGCCGGUGUAUAUGAGUUCGAAUAAUUCACAGGAGCUUGCUAUUUACGCCGAUGUGGUAGUUUAGGUGACUAAGCGUGUCCAAUAUAACGGUAUUGUGCCACGUGGUGGGUUCCCGUUGUGUCCGCUACCACGGCCUUAAGUUUAAGGCGUGGGGCCGCCACUUAACGGUUCUAUGUCAUAUAACAUGUAUGGCUUAGGAUGGAGAGACGUAUCAUGCUGGUGUAAGGCUAAAUCAUUAAUUUUGGAAAAAGCUUUAUUGCGUGUAAUAAAUCGGGUACUUAUGUAUCACAUGUCAUACUCUUGCAUGAUUAUUAUUUCACAUCAUGUGGGUAAAGUGUACAAACUCUGCAGAGUUAAAACUAAUCGAUUAGCCGUCCUCGCGGUCAUGGGCAGCGUGUGGAUAUGUAUUGAGUAUAGACUUGUGUUUAUUCUUCUAAAUGCUGAAAUUUACCUUCAAAUUGUGAUGAGAUUUGAGAAUGAUCUCCUUGCUAAAAAGAACCAUAAUAUGCCUUCCUUGAUUAUAUGCCUUGCAAGUAGAGUGUUAGGCUUGCAUUGGUGCUUGCUAGUACAUUAUAACUGACUCUUACUAUUGGAUUAACUAUUUGCUUGUAGGUGUUAGACUUAGCCUUUUGAGUGAUGCGGGUAAUCGACUGCUUCUUUUAGGAUCUGAACUUAAUGGGGGUAAACCCUAGUCGGUUUGCUUGAGGAUUGGGUAGUCAAGCUUUCGCUGUUCUAAUAUCUAUGUUCGGCCGGUCGGCUUAUGUAAUUAUGAAGUAGUUGUGAUUUAGAUCAAUUUUAUCUUAAAUGUAUUUUGCUAUGUAUUUCCAUGCUUAAGAUGAAAGUGUGAAUCUAGUGCACAUCCUGGGAACUAGAUUCACAUAAGUAUGAGUUAAGAAUAUUUGGGAUGUUGUAGAUCUUUAGCCUUUUUUAUCAAGUCUUCUUAAUGUGUAACACAUCCUUCGAGUGGUUUGACGGGCACAUUUCAGGCUGAAGUUGACUGGCAGGCUAAAGGCCCAGUAAUGUCUUCAA